UGCCGUGCAACUCCUUCUUUUUCUGCUCCAGGAACAGCCGGCCAAGGAAACAAAAGAAACAACUCAAAGCUCUUCAAAUUCCAUCUUCAUUUCUUCAACAAAACACCACCAAACUCCACCAAAAUUGAACCACACCUAGCUAAUCACUUGGUGAUCAUCUUAAGCUAGAAAAGGGGCUUCAUUUCCACGGUUUUCUUGAGCUUCAAAGUGACCAAAAAUUCUGAUUUAGUCAUCAAGAGAGGCGCUCAAGGGGACCUUCAAGAGGAACUAGAAGUGGACGCCUAGACACUUGUUUGAGUAUUUACUCUCUUGUUGCAAUAGGACUGGGCUCGGUCGGGUAGGUUGGAACCCUGGGCCACCGUUUCAGUAAACUCGAGUAUUACCACUGGAGGGAUAAGGUGAUGGCCAGUCAAACCGAGGGGAUCCGGAAGUCAUAAGGUGCAGAUGACCGACAGAGUUCCACUGGAACACCGUAUCCUACAGUAUAUAUUUACCUUGUGUCAUGAUAAUUGUUUCACGCUAAAAUGCCAACAUGAAAUCCUGAGCCAUGCCUGUGUUAUGCUCCAUACCUGUUAUCUGUCCAAUGUACUCAUAUCAUGAUACCUGUUUCAUGUUAAUGCUCCAUACCUGUAACAUGCUUAUAAUUACUCGCACCUGUAAUAAGCUCCAAUCACUUGUGAACUAUACAUGCCAAUGUCUUGAACCAUGAUAACUGUCUCAUAAUAAAUGUAUCAUACCAUGAUACAUGUCUCAAAUUAACCGUACAAUGAUUAUCACCUCAUGAUAACACGCCAUUGUGUAACAUUAAAUCAUGCAUAUGAUAUGCCCAACUUACUUGAUUUAUUUGAACUGUUAGAGUGUCUUGGAACCUCACUGGGCU